GCUGGAUUAUUUUUAUCACCCUUGUCUUUUGCGCACUUGUUGUUUCCUGGGCGGGUUCGCCCGCCACCAGGACCACACCAUAAACCUUUUUUAUGCAGUUGCAAUCAGCGUCAGUAUAACAAAUGUAAAUCAUUUACAACUUUCAACAACGGAUCUCUUGGUUCUGGCAUCGAUGAAGAACGCAGCGAAAUGCGAUACGUAGUGUGAAUUGCAGAAUUCAGUGAAUCAUCGAAUCUUUGAACGCACAUUGCGCCCUUUGGUAUUCCAAAGGGCAUGCCUGUUCGAGCGUCAUUUGUACCCUCAAGCUUUGCUUGGUGUUGGGCGUCUUUUGUCUUUGGCCUCGCCCAAAGACUCGCCUUAAAACGAUUGGCAGCCGGCCUACUGGUUUCGCAGCGCAGCACAUUUUUGCGCUUGCAAUCAGCACAAGGACGGCAAUCCAUCAAGACUACAUUUUUACGUUUGACCUCGGAUCAGGUAGGGAUACCCGCUGAACUUAAGCAUAUCAAUAAGCGGAGGAA
rnacentral:rRNA from 1 species